GUGAAGCAUAUCCUACAAGCACUGCAUGCAAUUUUUUCAAAAAGAUAACAGAAUUCAUAUUUUUGAGAAUCAAAAGAAAUUUAGAUGGGUUGAUAAAAGGCAGGGAAACUAACAGUUGGACCAGCAAGCAAGGAUGUCCCAGAAUCUACAAUAGCAGAACAACCUCCAUCACAAUAGCCUGAGGGGAAAACAUAGGAGACUCAUAAUCUGUUUCCCAACUAAGUCUAAGGUAAUGAAACAAAUAUAGAAAUUAAUUGACUUUUGUGCUCUUGACAUUUACACUAAAAUAAAUUUACAGCUUAUUAAAAUGCCUGAAAAUUUAUUGACUAGAUUAGACUGUAUUAUUAUGUUUGGUUUAGAUCACUUAUUCAAUCUUUCUAAAUUGGUCAUAAACAUGGCUGAUAAUGUUUACUUCUCAUGCUGCUUGUGACCAAAACAUCUUCAGGAAAAAGACUAGUAGCAAAGUAAGGAUAGAAAAGUGUAUGCUACAAACUAACUAUUUUUAUGUUAGAUGCAUUGAAAAUCACUACUAUAUUUGCUGGAAAAGACAUAGACCAUUGGUUUCUUGGUUGACUGAAACAACCUUAGUUCUUUAAUUUUGGUUGCAAUAUUCUACUGUUCUUUUAGUACCUAGAGUUAGAAAAUCUCAUGUGUCAUGUGUAAGGAAUCAAGAUAUUUGAAUGCUCCUUCUGAAGCACUCAUGAAUUUCAAUCCGGGGGGUUUCAACGUGUCCAACCUUUUACUGAAAUUUCGAUGUCAGUACAUAUAUAAGCAAGAAAUAUAGUGAUUGCCACUCUAAAAACACUGUAAUUGUUAAAACAUCAGACGGGAAAAACCCGCUCAGAGAUGUUUGCAUCAAUUGCUUGUCAGGGACCCGGACCCAUCUUAUGAUACGUUACAAAAAAGUAGUCCUCAUAAAGAGAAGAUCUUUCAGGGAAGAAGGCUGCAAUAGUCUGCAAACAAACCAAUCAUUUUAAUGGAGUAUAAAAUCGAGUUUCUUGUAAAUGAUUCCAUUGUUGCUGUGAAAUCAAGUUAUUGAUUAAAAAUGCAGAAAAUAGCAUAACUUUACAGUUUGCAAGCACGUUGUUCUCACACGUAAACCUACCUAGUUAACUCACAUCUUUGUUUUCUGCAACUAAUUAGUAGUUUAUCAAAGAAACAAGAGAAGAAAUUUGAAAAAGUUGAAGGUGGAAUCACAAGAAGAAACAAGGAAAGGUGGGGGUGUUGGAUCCAGAUGCCAUAGAUUUGAUGAAAAUAGCACCAAAUACAAAGGUCGGAGCUAAAUGCAAAUCAGUUUUGCUUAAUGCAAUUCGCACAAAUUACUCUCCUAGCCUUUUAGUACAGUCAAUACGUAUUAAAUGCUGAAUGUGAGUGGGGGUAUAUUAGAGGCGCUUAGGUGAUUACGAG
rnacentral:lncRNA from 1 species